rnacentral:rRNA from 1 species
AGUGAACGCUGGCGGUAGGCCUAACACAUGCAAGUCGAACGGCAGCACAGUAAGAGCUUGCUCUUACGGGUGGCGAGUGGCGGGCGGGUGAGGAAUACAUCGGAAUCUACUUUUUCGUGGGGGAUAACGUAGGGAAACUUACGCUAUACCGCAUACGACCUACGGGUGAAAGCAGGGGAUCUUCGGACCUUGCGCGAUUGAAUGAGCCGAUGUCGGAUUAGCUAGUUGGCGGGGUAAAGGCCCACCAAGGCGACGAUCCGUAGCUGGUCUGAGAGGAUGAUCAGCCACACUGGAACUGAGACACGGUCCAGACUCCUACGGGAGGCAGCAGUGGGGAAUAUUGGACAAUGGGCGCAAGCCUGAUCCAGCCAUACCGCGUGGGUGAAGAAGGCCUUCGGGUUGUAAAGCCCUUUUGUUGGGAAAGAAAAGCAGCAGGUUAAUACCCCGCUGUUCUGACGGUACCCAAAGAAUAAGCACCGGCUAACUUCGUG